rnacentral:rRNA from 1 species
CGGGGUGCACCAGGCGCGAAAACUCUACAAUGCAGGCAACUGCGAUAGGGGAACAUCGAGUGAUACUCAUCUUGGGUGUCUGUCCUCCCGUCUAAAAAACGGGAGUUAGCAAGGGCCGGGCAAGACCGGUGCCAGCCGCCGCGGUAAUACCGGCGGCUCGAGUGGUGGCCGAUAUUAUUGAGUCUACAGGGUCCGUAGCCGGCUUUGCAAGUCUUUUGGGAAAUCCAGCGGCUUAACCGUUGGUCGUCCGGGAGAUACUACAUUGCUUGGGACUGGGAGAGGUAGGAGGUACUCAGGGGGUAGGAGUGAAAUCCUGUAAUCCUUUGGGGACCACCGGUGGCGAAGGCGUCCUACCAGAACAGGUCCGACGGUGAGGGACGAAAGCUAGGGGCACGAACCGGAUUAGAUACCCGGGUAGUCCUAGCCGUAAACGAUGCUCGCUAGGUGUCACAACAAUCGUGAAUUGUUGUGGUGCCGUAGGGAAGCCGUGAAGCGAGCCACUUGGGAAGUACGACCGCAAGGGGAAACUUAAAGGAAUUGGCGGGGGAGCACAAGGGCGAUUCGCGG